AACGAACGCUGGCGGCAGGCCUAACACAUGCAAGUCGAGCGAGGACUUCGGUUCUAGCGGCGGACGGGUGAGUAACGCGUGGGAAUGUGCCCUUCUCUACGGAAUAGCCCUGGGAAACUGGGAGUAAUACCGUAUACGCCCUAUUGGGGAAAGAUUUAUCGGAGAAGGAUCAGCCCGCGUUGGAUUAGGUAGUUGGUGGGGUAAUGGCCUACCAAGCCGACGAUCCAUAGCUGGUUUGAGAGGAUGAUCAGCCACACUGGGACUGAGACACGGCCCAGACUCCUACGGGAGGCAGCAGUGGGGAAGCUUAGACAAUGGGGGCAACCCUGAUCUAGCCAGGCCGCGUGAGUGAUGAAGGCCUUAGGGUUGUAAAGCUCUUUCAGCUGGGAAGAUAAUGACGGUACCAGCAGAAGAAGCCCCGGCUAACUCCGU
rnacentral:rRNA from 1 species